UAUGCCUAUGGGGGAGGGACGAGGUGCCAAAGAAUGCAACCCUACCGCCAAGUGCUUGAGUCUGCUGAAACUGCCUUCUGAGCCCUGAGAGAUGACAGCUUCUGGCCUACGGCUCCGGGAUUAGAAAAGGAAACGAGGCUCAGACUUCCUUGAUUGGCAGGGGUGGGCAGAAUUCAGUCAGCAUGCAUUUUUAAUAUGUAUUUACAUGUACAUACUUCCAUUUGGUUGCUUGCCUUUGUUUUUUUACAGUCUGUGCCACCUGCAAAGCAAUCUAUGCCACCACCAUUUUGAUUGCAGUUUAAAGAUAAAUUUAUUUGGAAGGUAUUUUGUACUUUGUCACAAAAUACAUUUCACUGUAUUUUUGCCCAUAUCUCUGAUUUCCCCUCAUACAUCACUUGUUCAAGGAGAGCUACUGAUUUUAACAGAUUAAUCAGGGGUAACUGGUUUUCAGACCCUAAAUAUCUCUGGGGGCCACUAGUAUUUGACUUUAUUGCUGAAUAUUGGUGACUUGCUAUCAAUUGUCAAAAUAGCACAAAAGCUGUCUGCAAAAGAUGUGCGUGCUUAUGAUAUAUGCAAGUCAUCUGCCCCUGGUGAGCACAUUUAGGGUCUGAAAAUCAGUAUUUGCUGAUUAAUCAGUAAAAUCCCAUCCAUGUAGAUAUAGGAGGUGAUGGAUGAGGUGCUUCCCUGUUCUUUCCUCUGGCUUUGACACCUUUUCUGGCUGACACUCCUGCCCCACACUUCACUGCAGGAGGUGCUUCUGGAUGGAGUAGCUGCCACGUCACUGCACCCCCGUCCCCUCAUCCCACACCUCUCUGACUGGGGUAGGAACCAAGAUGGGGGUGAACUUCUGAUUGCCUGUCACUGGUGGUUAACCCAACCCGGUUAAAUAUUUGUGGACUAUAGGCUGGUUAUCUUGGCGAGAUGUAACAGACAGACCCAGAGAGCCAUUGGAUUUUUGUGCUUACCACUAUCAAGCAUAUAGAAAAAGCAAAUCCAUGAUUAAGAAGUUACAAUAAUUAAUCCCUUUCACACUGAAAUAUGCACGUGUGAGUCUCCUUAAAGGUCACAAUUAUGCAUAUGCCGGGUUUGGGUUUCCCUGGUAGUGUAUGGAGAUCUUGUUCUUUGAUCAGCAAUGGUCUAGCUGCUAUUGCUGUGACUGUGCUGCUUAGCUGGUGGACUGCAGAAUGAACAGCUGUACGCAUUUGGGAGUGUGUGCCCUCCAGAGUUGAUGGAGGGCAUUGCAGGGAUGGGAUAGGCUUUUUUUAAAGGCCAUGCCAAACACAAACUGUGGUAAGCGCCAUGCCAUGAGCUCAGGGUGAAGUGCUGCAAUGAGGAACUUGGUAGUGUAUUUUUCCAGCAUGUCAUAUGUCAUGGCUUCCAAAAAAUGAAAAACUGUUUUUUCUUGUCUGUGACAACUCAUGCUGAAUACAACCUCUAAAUUAGACUUGUCUGUGAAGGUAUUGUAAUAUCUUUUGUUUUACAAUCAAUCAAUUUUUCACACUCUUUUCCAACGCAACUUAUGAGAGUGAAUUGUUGGAUCAUAAAGCGAUUCGGCAUGGGCUUAUUUAUAUUUUGAAUAAUUUUACAUUGAUUCACAAACACUGAUUUGUACUUGAAGCACUGAUUUGUAUCACAGACCUAUAUCACAGUUUCUAAAAUGCAACAUACAGAUGGCUAUUGUAACUGAUAUCUCUGUGUGGCUAUUUUUGACCUUUCAUGCUUGAUGUUGACCUUCAUGCUUAACCCUUUCAUGGAACGUGUGUUAAAUCAACAAAAUGUGUUAAAUCAACUCUAGCAGCGUUACAUAAAUUCUAACAGGGUACAUGAGGGACAAUAUGUACUCUAUUACAGUUAAAAUUACUAUAUCAGAGUUCAUUUUACACUGACAAUUCUGUGUGGACUGGUGACUAUAGUGGGGUUACUGUCGGCACAGCUGUAGACAUUUAAGAAGAUUCCUAGAGGUGAGGCAACACUUUAAUCAGUUUUACCAUGCAACCUGAGACACAUUAGGAGGAAAUUUGUAUCUUAGGAAGUCAAGAUUUUCUGGAGAAAGUGAUCUUGUCAUUACUGGGUGAAGCAUGUUAGAUGGCUGCGUGUUGAGUCGGGGGGAGGGCUACAGAUAUUUCUCCAACAGCAGGAAUACAAGAUGCUCAGAGGGCCCCCAGGGGAACAGGCUGAGGAAUGAUGUAAUACAGCUGGUUUAUCUGUGGGCCUGACCACUGUGAGCCUAGAGACCUACAGAUGCUCAAGAUCUCUGCGUGGUUGUGAGAAACUGGAUACUUCCCACUACUUAUCUAAUUCCAGAGAAUCAUGCAAUGAAAAUGCAGCUUCCAGCACAAAACCCAGCUGUUUAUAGGUUUUGACACUGUAGUGUUUCGUUUUGUGCUCACAAAAUGGAUAUAUGAACACCACACACACCACUGGCACUACAACACAAAGACAGACUUUGAGAGAAAAGACUGCUUGUGGUGAAGGGGUUUGUUUGGUUUUACGCUCUUUCUGAUGUGUUGAUGUGUUUGCAUCUACCCAUGUAAGAUGAUCCAGAAGGUGGGCACACACUAAAGUGGGAAACAAAAGACAUUGGCAGUCGUUGUGUUGUAGAACGUGUGUGUGCUUGUAUGUGACUAUGGCUGAGUGUGUGUGUGUGUGUGUGUGUAUUUGUCUGUGAUGCUGAGCAUGUGUGUGUCUGCAUAUGUGUGUGUUUGUGUGUGUGUGAAUGACCAUAUAUGUGUGAGCAUGUGGGAAUGUGUGUGUGUCUUAACCUACUCCAACAUCAGCUGUCCACUAGUCAAGUGAUUUAGCACAAGACACAGGACUUCCCCCAUCUGGACUGCAGACAGUUAUUGGUUAAUCCUGUCAAGGAUCCAACCGAAACCAGAAUCUUGGGGUUGGGGGGGAAUUGCAGGUGUUCAGGACUCUCUCUUUCCCAAUACCAAACUUUCCCUUCUUCUUUCUCUUCUGUUGUGAUGAAUUCCUGAAGAAUGUAAACAAGGCCACAGGAUCCCCCUGACAAACGCUUUACCAAAUCUCUCCCUCCCCCUUUCGUUGGGUCAGUCUCCUUCGGGAGGUGCGGAAAGGACAUGUAGGGUCCGGACAGCACAGGUGCAGCUCAGGGGCAGUGGAGGCAACAGCUUCCCCCUACUUUGAACCUGAGCCUCAAAGCAUCACUAGUUUCCUGUCACUCAGGAAUACCUGAGCCUGCCAGCACUGGUCAGCUUAACACAAGCCCUACAAAGCCUUCGGUUUGCAGCACAAAAGGGAGAGGGGAGGAUCUGCCGUUUGCAAGAGGUGUUGAGACUCAGGGUUCUCCUGGGUUUCAGCUCAGCUUCAGUUUCAUACAACAUGUUUAAAUGAUCCUGGUGAAAAAAUAAAUAUAUUAAAACGCAAUUUUAAAUUGGAAGAAAACCUUUUAAAAUAUAGUACAAUAUAUUUAUUUAUUUAUGAAAUGUUAAUGUUUUUCCUGCAUAUAAACUGUUUUGUUUAAUUUGUUUAAACAUUUAGUGGCCCCUUUAUAAAGUACACCAGCUCAUCCAAACAGCAAAUCAUGUGGCUGUAAAUCAGUAUAUAAAGCAGGGCUACUCAUCGCUAGGUGAUACAGGCUGCAGCAUCUGCAAGUAUUUGCUCCAAUUAUGCACCACCUGAUUUCACUAAUGAGCUUAUUUCCUGAACCAAGGAGGUAAAAUAAUUAGUGAAGUCAGGUGGUGUAGUACAUUGUUGGAGUGAAUACCUGCAGACACUGUGGCGUGCAGGACCUGGAGCUGAGUAGCUCCAUAUAUAUGAACGCACAAUGUGUUGAACCUUGAAUCGGAUAGGUUACAGCAGCAGAAGGCUUUUCCACUGCUGUUAGCUAAGAACAGGAAGAUGAGACUACAGUGGGCACGUAAUCACCAAAAUUAGGCAAUUGAAGACAUUGGAAAAACAUUGCCUGGUCUGACGAAUCUCGAUUUCUGCUGUGAAAUGCAGAUGGGCUUGGAAGAGUGGGAGACGCUACGCUGAGAUGCACACUGAGGAAAAGUAUCAGGUUGGAGGAUAUCAGUCCUUUUGCAGCGCCUUCUAUGGCAAGGACAGUGCAGAAAUAUUUUCAUGGUUCUGCCAAGAAAACGAGCCGUUCCCACACUCCACAACCCACUGAACAUCCAGGAGGGGAAAAAUUUACAUUUUAAUUCCAGUAAAAGAAAGUCGUCCAUUUAACACAGGCCUCUCUGUCACUUUGAGUUAAGUGGUCUGGUUAUUUUCCAGCAAGGGAAAAGAUAUCAUUCUCACCAAACACUGAUCUUACCGAAUAUCUCAUCAGAUUAGUUCAAUAGGCAAACUUUCUCAAGAGUGAAGAAAACAAAUGACUGCCAAAUACAGGCCAUAGUCUGAGGCUGUGAAGUAUUAUUACAAGCUCUAGACUUAAUUUCCUCUGAGACCUUUCUGCUAUUUUCACAUUCUAGGGCACUUCUCACAUCUAACUGCCACACAGCAGCACCCAAGCCAUCCCUAAUCAUACUACCUCUUGAAAACCUCCAGCCUUUUGCCACAGCAAAACACCCAAACAAAUGCAGUGUCUGCAUGGACAAUGUCAUUUAAAAAAGGAAAUUUUGGUGGUACCAAUGUUUGAAUUUUAAGCAAUCUGCAUGGCGGUGAGUACAUGGUGUUCUACUUGUUCUUAAACUCCUCCUCUUGUAGUUGACCUUUAUUAAUUAUUGCUAAAUUGCACUUGUUUAAUUGUUAAAUUAAUGUAGCACCAGCACACACACAGGUGUGUAGGUGUGCACAUAUCCAGUUCCUUUUUUAUUUUAUUGUAAUUAGCUUAGGUAAAGGUGGCCCUGUGUCUGGAUAAUAGGCACGUCCCUCCCCGUAGAUUUAUAUGUGGUGGUGUCCAUAAAUGGGGUCUGUUCGGGCUGAUAUGUUGUAUUUAUGUGUACAGAGUGUGAAUUAUGUUAAAAGAAUUUUGAUGUUUGUGAUUUUGUCACUCAUUGCUGUGUGUUAAGCUUGCGUAGUUGUGCCAUCAUUAACUUACAGUAGAACAAGCCUUCUUAACUAUGGUACUGUAGCAUUUCCAGUGUUUACAAUAAUCAUAUCAUUCUGUAUUAUUUGUUUUAUCGAAAACUGUAUUCAAGCACAUUUUUAUAAUUUUGGUGCAGGAUUAUAAUUCUGGAUAGUC